rnacentral:rRNA from 1 species
GCUUCUUUUUCCACCGGAGCUUGCUCCACCGGAAAAAGAGGAGUGGCGAACGGGUGAGUAACACGUGGGUAACCUGCCCAUCAGAAGGGGAUAACACUUGGAAACAGGUGCUAAUACCGUAUAACAAUCGAAACCGCAUGGUUUUGAUUUGAAAGGCGCUUUCGGGUGUCGCUGAUGGAUGGACCCGCGGUGCAUUAGCUAGUUGGUGAGGUAACGGCUCACCAAGGCCACGAUGCAUAGCCGACCUGAGAGGGUGAUCGGCCACAUUGGGACUGACACACGGCCCAAACUCCUACGGGAGGCAGCAGUAGGGAAUCUUCGGCAAUGGACGAAAGUCUGACCGAGCAACGCCGCGUGAGUGAAGAAAGUUUUCUGAUCGUAAAACUCUGUUGUUUUAUAAGAACAAGGAUGAGAGUAACUGUUCAUCCCUUGAC